GACGAACGCUGGCGGCGUGCUUAACACAUGCAAGUCGAACGGAAAGGCCCUGCUUUUGUGGGGUGCUCGAGUGGCGAACGGGUGAGUAACACGUGAGUAACCUGCCCUUGACUUUGGGAUAACUUCAGGAAACUGGGGCUAAUACCGGAUAGGAGCUCCUGCUGCAUGGUGGGGGUUGGAAAGUUUCGGCGGUUGGGGAUGGACUCGCGGCUUAUCAGCUUGUUGGUGGGGUAGUGGCUUACCAAGGCUUUGACGGGUAGCCGGCCUGAGAGGGUGACCGGCAACAUUGGGACUGAGAUACGGCCCAGACUCCUACAGGAGGCAGCAGUGGGGAAUAUUGCACAAUGGGCGGAAGCCUGAUGCAGCAACGCCGCGUGCGGGAUGACGGCCUUCGGGUUGUAAACCGCUUUCGCCUGUGACGAAGCGUGAGUGACGGUAAUGGGUAAAGAAGCACCGGCUAACUACGUG
rnacentral:rRNA from 1 species